rnacentral:rRNA from 1 species
AGAGUUUGAUCCUGGCUCAGGAUGAACGCUAGCUACAGGCUUAACACAUGCAAGUCGAGGGGAAACGAUAGAGAAAGCUUGCUUUUUCUAGGCGUCGACCGGCGCACGGGUGAGUAACGCGUAUCCAACCUGCCCAUCACUUGGGGAUAACCUUGCGAAAGUAAGACUAAUACCCAAUGACGUCCAUAGAAGACAUCUGAAAUGGAUUAAAGAUUUAUCGGUGAUGGAUGGGGAUGCGUCUGAUUAGCUUGUUGGCGGGGUAACGGCCCACCAAGGCGACGAUCAGUAGGGGUUCUGAGAGGAAGGUCCCCCACAUUGGAACUGAGACACGGUCCAAACUCCUACGGGAGGCAGCAGUGAGGAAUAUUGGUCAAUGGACGAGAGUCUGAACCAGCCAAGUAGCGUGCAGGAUGACGGCCCUAUGGGUUGUAAACUGCUUUUAUAAGGGAAUAAAGUGAGUCUCGUGAGGCUUUUUGCAUGUACCUUAUGAAUAAGGACCGGCUAAUUCCGUGCCAGCAGCCGCGGUAAUACGGAAGGUCCGGGCGUUAUCCGGAUUUAUUGGGUUUAAAGGGAGCGUAGGCCGGAGAUUAAGCGUGUUGUGAAAUGUAGACGCUCAACGUCUGCACUGCAGCGCGAACUGGUUUCCUUGAGUACGCACAAAGUGGGCGGAAUUCGUGGUGUAGCGGUGAAAUGCUUAGAUAUCACGAAGAACUCCGAUUGCGAAGGCAGCUCACUGGAGCGCAACUGACGCUGAAGCUCGAAAGUGCGGGUAUCGAACAGGAUUAGAUACCCUGGUAGUCCGCACGGUAAACGAUGGAUGCCCGCUGUUGGUCUGAAUAGGUCAGCGGCCAAGCGAAAGCAUUAAGCAUCCCACCUGGGGAGUACGCCGGCAACGGUGAAACUCAAAGGAAUUGACGG